rnacentral:lncRNA from 1 species
GGGCUCCAAGCAACAUCUAACUGUGUCACUUUGAUGGAGAAACAGACUGGAUCAAGGCUCACCUCUACACCCUGGGGGCAGUGCGUCUCAUCAGGCCUGCUGGAUAAUGUCCUGGAAUUAGGAAGCAGCUAGUACAAUGAAGGAAAACGGAGGAAUAUACUAACACAGGACGUGGGCAGUGUGGCAAGCCAGCCAAAACAAAAGAGUCCACUCUACCCUUUAAUUAAACAGGUUGA